GACCGGCGCACGGGUGCGUAACGCGUAUGCAAUCUACCUUAUACAGAGGGAUAGCCCAGAGAAAUUUGGAUUAAUACCUCAUAGUAUUAUUGAAUGGCAUCAUUUAAUAAUUAAAGUCACAACGGUAUAAGAUGAGCAUGCGUCCCAUUAGUUAGUUGGUAAGGUAACGGCUUACCAAGACAAUGAUGGGUAGGGGUCCUGAGAGGGAGAUCCCCCACACUGGUACUGAGACACGGACCAGACUCCUACGGGAGGCAGCAGUGAGGAAUAUUGGUCAAUGGACGCAAGUCUGAACCAGCCAUGCCGCGUGCAGGAUGACGGUCCUAUGGAUUGUAAACUGCUUUUAUACAGGAAGAAACACUCGGACGUGUCCGAGCUUGACGGUACUGUAGGAAUAAGGAUCGGCUAACUCCGUGCCAGCAGCCGCGGUAAUACGGAGGAUCCAAGCGUUAUCCGGAAUCAUUGGGUUUAAAGGGUCCGUAGGCGGUUUAAUAAGUCAGUGGUGAAAGCCUAUCGCUUAACGAUAGAACGGCCAUUGAUACUGUUAGACUUGAAUUAGUGGGAAGUAACUAGAAUAUGUAGUGUAGCGGUGAAAUGCUUAGAUAUUACAUGGAAUACCAAUUGCGAAGGCAGGUUACUAUCACUAUAUUGACGCUGAUGGACGAAAGCGUGGGGAGCGAACAGGAUUAGAUACCCUGGUAGUCCACGCCGUAAACGAUGGAUACUAGCUGUUCGGAGCAAUCUGAGUGGCUAAGCGAAAGUGAUAAGUAUCCCACCUGGGGAGUACGUUCGCAAGAAUGAAACUCAAAGGAAUUGACGGGGGCCCGCACAAGCGGAGGAGCAUGUGGUUUAAUUCGAUGAUACGCGAGGAACCUUACCAGGGCUUAAAUGGGAGACGACAGGACUGGAAACAGUUUUUUCUUCGGACGUCUUUCAAGGUGCUGCAUGGUUGUCGUCAGCUCGUGCCGUGAGGUGUCAGGUUAAGUCCUAUAACGAGCGCAACCCCUAUUGUUAGUUGCCAGCGGGUCAUGCCGGGAACUCUAACAAGACUGCCGGUGCAAACCGUGAGGAAGGUGGGGAUGACGUCAAAUCAUCACGGCCCUUACGUCCUGGGCUACACACGUGCUACAAUGGGCGGUACAGAGAGCAGCCACUACGCAAGUAGGCGCGAAUCUUCAAAACCGUUCUCAGUUCGGAUCGGAGUCUGCAACUCGACUCCGUGAAGCUGGAUUCGCUAGUAAUCGCAUAUCAGCCAUGAUGCGGUGAAUACGUUCCCGGGCCUUGUACACACCGCCCGUCAAGCCAUGGAAGCUGGGGGUACCUGAAGUCGGUGACC
rnacentral:rRNA from 1 species